rnacentral:rRNA from 1 species
UUAAUACCCCAUAAUAUAUUGAAUGGCAUCAUUUGAUAUUGAAAACUCCGGUGGAUAGAGAUGGGCACGCGCAAGAUUAGAUAGUUGGUGAGGUAACGGCUCACCAAGUCAGCGAUCUUUAGGGGGCCUGAGAGGGUGAUCCCCCACACUGGUACUGAGACACGGACCAGACUCCUACGGGAGGCAGCAGUGAGGAAUAUUGGACAAUGGGUGAGAGCCUGAUCCAGCCAUCCCGCGUGAAGGACGACGGCCCUAUGGGUUGUAAACUUCUUUUGUAUAGGGAUAAACCUACCCUCGUGAGGGUAGCUGAAGGUACUAUACGAAUAAGCACCGGCUAACUCCGUGCCAGCAGCCGCGGUAAUACGGAGGGUGCAAGCGUUAUCCGGAUUUAUUGGGUUUAAAGGGUCCGUAGGCUGAUUUGUAAGUCAGUGGUGAAAUCUCACAGCUUAACUGUGAAACUGCCAUUGAUACUGCAAGUCUUGAGUGUUGUUGAAGUAGCUGGAAUAAGUAGUGUAGCGGUGAAAUGCAUAGAUAUUACUUAGAACACCAAUUGCGAAGGCAGGUUACUAAGCAACAACUGACGCUGAUGGACGAAAGCGUGGGGAGCGAACAGGAUUAGAUACCCUGGUAGUCCACGCCGUAAACGAUGCUAACUCGUUUUUGGGCUUUUGGGUUCAGAGACUAAGCGAAAGUGAUAAGUUAGCCACCUGGGGAGUACGAACGCAAGUUUGAAACUCAAAGGAAUUGACGGGGGCCCGCACAAGCGGUGGAUUAUGUGGUUUAAUUCGAUGAUACGCGAGGAACCUUACCAAGGCUUAAAUGGGAAAUGACAGGCUUAGAAAUAGGCUUUUCUUCGGACAUUUUUCAAGGUGCUGCAUGGUUGUCGUCAGCUCGUGCCGUGAGGUGUUAGGUUAAGUCCUGCAACGAGCGCAACCCCUGUCACUAGUUGCCAUCAUUAAGUUGGGGACUCUAGUGAGACUGCCUACGCAGUAGAGAGGAAGGUGGGGAUGA